GUCUCAGUGCAAUUCGAACGCUCACGGAAAGCGGCCGUGCGCGUCCCGCUCUCCGCUACACACACGGUCUACGCAAACUUGCAAACUACAUCGCGGUACUAACUCAGUAAAAACAAACAUAAAAACAAUUAACAACAAGUGAACAGUGAGUGACAGUGUUGUUCCCAAAAAGUUUACUCAGUGCCAUGGACAUUUUAAACUUUUAAGAUACCUGGACAUCAUUGCAGUAUCUCCAUGACAAUAUUAUAGGGCUGCCAACUGUAAUCGGAUUGGCGCGCGGAGUCCGCUCAGGUUGCACGGACAUCAAGGCUUAAAUGGAGCGAAGGAAAUUAAAUUAAAAACUAAAGUCCCUUGCACGAUACGCAAAUACUCGCACCGACUGCCGAUGUUUGCUCUCGGAACGUUAUCACUUGAUAAGUUAGAACACAAGCCGCGAGCAAACAACGUUAUCAUGGUAACGUUCUUACCGGAGACUUGGAGCAGCUCAGACUCCGCUCCGCUCGGCCGCGCCGAACACCACACCUGAGGCCACACUCGCUGCUUGCACCCUCGCCAGCGGAUGGCGCGAUGGAAGUUGGACACAGAUAAACCAGUGAAAGUGACAAUUGAUGUGACUGUUCAGUGUGAUUAGUGUAAAUAGAUAAACCAAAGAACAAACAAACCAAAGCUAAUUAGCUCAAAUUCCUAGUCGAAAGAGAUUUUACGUCGUCAAACUGGAGGAGCUAAAGACUUUAGAUACGGACCUUGUAGACAAUGUCAGUGCAAAGGUGGAGAAGUGCCUGGCGCAGAACGAGGGGUUGGCUGAGGAGGAGUUCUGCCCCGCGUACUACGACGGGCUGCUGUGCUGGGACGCGACGCCGUGGAACACGCUGGCCGUGCAGCGCUGCUUCAGCGAGUUCCACGGCGUCCAGUACGAUGACACACAGAACGCAUCGCGGAUGUGCUUGGACGGCGUGUGGCACAACUACUCAAACUACGCGAACUGCACGGAACGCAUGACCAACGUGUCGCCGACUGACGUCACCAGCCUCAUCUACCUCGCCGGCUACUCGCUCAGCCUCGCCGUGCUGUCGCUCGCCGUCUUCGUAUUCCUUUAUUUCAAGGACUUGCGAUGUCUAAGGAACACAAUACAUACCAACCUCAUGUCGACGUACAUUCUGUCUGCCUGCAGUUGGAUCUUAAACUUAGCUUUACAAAAUUGGUCCGAUGAGGCCCAACAAGAUCAAACCUCGUGUACGAUUCUGGUCAUAUGUAUGCACUACUUUUACCUCACUAAUUUCUUCUGGAUGCUUGUAGAAGGCUUGUACCUGUACAUGCUCGUGGUGGAAACAUUCACUGCUGAGAAUAUUAAACUGAAGGUGUACACUACUAUAGGAUGGGGUGCGCCGGCGGUGUUCCUGACAAUAUGGGUGAUAUGCAGGUGCUUCGUCAACAUCGUGCCUUCCAACCCUGCAGAUGGGCUUGCCCUCGCAGGAGAGGCCAAGAUGUGUAUUUGGAUGUCAGAGCACCAGGUGGACUGGAUCCACAAAGCGCCAGCACUCGCUGGACUCGCCCUCAACCUCUUCUUCCUCAUUAGGAUUAUGUGGGUAUUAAUCACAAAACUGCGGUCAGCAAACACGUUGGAGACGGAGCAGUAUCGGAAAGCAACGAAGGCACUUCUAGUCCUGAUCCCACUCCUGGGCAUCACCAACCUGUUGGUGUUGUGUGGGCCCAACGACGACUCCUGGUUCGCACACGCUUUCGACUACACGCGAGCACUCAUGCUUUCAACACAGGGAUUCUUGGUGGCUUUGUUCUACUGCUUCAUGAACACAGAAGUACGGCACGCGAUCAGAUACCACGUGGAAAGGUGGAAGACUGGGAGGACCAUCGGGGGAGGAAGGAGGAGAGGAGCUUCCUACUCCAAGGACUGGUCUCCUCGAUCCCGAACAGAAAGCAUACGAGAGUGUUUGAAUACGGAUGUUAACAAGAAGACUGUGGGGCAGGUUGUACAGCCACCCAUCUAAACGGGAGUCGGCAGCGUCGGAGACCACCACCACGACAUUGCUGGUGCCACGAACAUCACUACUGCCUCCUCUCGAUGGCAGGCAUCUGCACACUGAUUACAUCACGAGCGGGAGCGCAAGCGGCGACCAGUCUCCAGUGUGAGGCGGGGGGCGGGGGAGGCUGCCGCGCCUGCGCACCCUGCCCGAGGAAGACGGAGUCCCUGGCCCGUCCGUCCCCGCCUCUCCCGCCUCUCCUGCGUCUUCAUCACCGCUCAGCCCCGACGUCAAACAGAACCACGCUACCACGUCAACCAUCUCAGUACUUCACAACGGGUAUCACAAAACUGAGCUGCAUAGUCCUCACACUCCCAAUUCUUUCAGCAAUGGACCUUUCUCACUCUCUAACAGAUUAGACACCGUCUCGAAUGCUACCUCGCCAAACUCGGCCACCUCGAGCCCGAACGCAAAACAUUUUGAAUAUUAACUGCACGCAUUUAACGUUCCUGUGACUAUUGUAAUAUAUUAUAUAACAACAAUAUUUAUUAUGUGAUGCAUGGACUAGUGAUAGCGUAUAAAAUACAUUUUAUAUUAUGAAAAAAUAAUAAAAUUAUUACUACUUAAAAUUAACAUAAUUCGGAUGUAAUUCCUCAACUUAACGUUAAAUAUAUUUUAAAAUUAAUAUAAUUAGGAAAGUACACUAUGAAACGCUGAGUUUUCUUUAGGAUAUUAGAAAUUGGUAUUUGUGUAUAAUAUUAAUAUAACUAUGCGAUUUUAUAACAAGUCAAAAGUAAAUACUUUUUGUACGUAUGUCACAGAUAAUUUAAGUCAGUAUAUUAAAGUGUUGCCAAAGCUACGUCGGCUUACAUAGAAUUAUUGUUAAUGAACUAAUUAUUACAUUAUAGCAUUUAAGUAUAUAGUAUUAAGGAAGAAAUUGGGAAACAAUGCGCUAUUUGUAUCAUAAAUUUUAUAGCAUAUCGUAAAUUUUACAUACAAAGACGUUAUUUUCUAUGUAAUUACUAUUCAUAAUGUGUCAUCUAUGUGAAAAUUAUGAGUGUAAAAGUACUACCAAUUUAUAAUUAAUACAUUAGGUCAAUAAGGUUGAGAAUUAAAUAAAGCUAGCUAUGUAUGUAUUGUGUACUAGACAAAGCUCCGUGUGAGUAAUCGAUGAACAACUUAAUAAAUGUAAAUGUAUCUUAAAAUGAACAUGUAAAUUCAAAAGUGAUUUAAUGUUUGUACAUUUAUCUGUAAUAAAAUUUGUGAUCGUCA